UACAAAGAAAUCAGUCAUAAAAAUCUUAAAAUCGUUAUCUCUCAUAUCAGCAAUAUCCCAUCUAAUAGCUUUUUUAUGUGCUUUUAGAAUACCUACAAGUUGGGCUUUCUAGUUAAGGAUUACUGAUAGAAUUUUAGUGGGUGCGUUAGGAAGUGGCUUCAAUUCUAGAGCAGUUGGUGAUUCUAACAAGGGAGCUAUUGGGGGGGCG
rnacentral:lncRNA from 1 species